AACGCACAUUGCGCCCUUCGGUAUUCCGUUGGGCAUGCCUGUUCGAGCGUCAUUUAAUCAUUCAAGCUCUGCUUGGUGUUGGGUGUUUGUUCCGCCUCAGCGCGUGGACUCGCCUUAAAUUCAUUGGCAGCCGGUAUGUUGGCUUCGUGCGCAGCACAUUGCGUCGCGAUUCUGGCAGGCCUCCUCCCAUUAAGCUUCUUUUAAGUUUGACCUCGGAUCAGGUAGGGAUACCCGCUGAACUUAA
rnacentral:misc_RNA from 4 species